UACGUAGGGUGCAAGCGUUGUCCGGAAUUAUUGGGCGUAAAGAGCUCGUAGGCGGUUUGUCGCGUCUGCUGUGAAAACUCGGGGCUUAACCCCGGGCCUGCAGUGGGUACGGGCAGACUAGAGUGCGGUAGGGGAGACUGGAAUUCCUGGUGUAGCGGUGAAAUGCGCAGAUAUCAGGUGGAACACCGGUGGCGAAGGCGGUGGUCUGGGCCGAAAUUGACGCUGAGGAGCGAAAGCGUGGGGAGCAAACAGG
rnacentral:rRNA from 1 species